AGCCCCGCCCUUUGGCCGGCGGUCCGAGCAGUGACCGGCUCCGACCCCCGCCUGGGGGCAGCAGAGCGAGCUGGGGGACUUCGGAAGACGCGCAGUUCUGGUUUGGAUAACGGGGUAGAUGGAGGCUCCUGUGGUCCCUUAACGGUCGGCUUCGUCUUUGCAUCGAGGGCGCUCUAAAGCAGGGCCCUGGGACCUUGCUGACCCCGGGGCACCUAUCGCAGGGCCGGGAACGCGGACGGGCCCAUAGGUAUUUACUGCUGUGGCCGGAGCCCUCCUGUGAUGUGAACGCCCUCUGGACCCACGGCGUGGAGGAUGUACCCUGUGUGUGGGGCUCGCUUUCUUACACACUUACCACUUCUGAUGAAGACUUAAGACACAGGGGAUGAGGUCUUCACAGGAGAAGCCGGAAAGAGAAGCAUGCUGCUUUGUCUCCCCCUCCCUCCCCCGGACCCGAGCACCAGCUCCCGACUCCCGGAGACCCUUGCCCGCGGGCUCAGCCCAGCUCUGAGAGGCGAGCGGGAAGGACCGGCCGCUUACUCUGCCC